GGACGAUAGUGAACCAGUACCGUGAGGGAAAGUGAAAAGUACUUCGAAUAGAAUGGUGAAAUAGAUCCUGAAACCAUACGCUUACAAUCUGUCGGAGCCUCCUAGUGGGGUGACGACGUGCCUUUUGCAUAAUGAACCUACGAGUUAAUUUUUCCGGCAAGGUUAAGUAGUUCAGCUAUGGAGCCGUAGCGAAAGCGAGUCUGAAUAGGGCAUUUAGUCGGAAGGAUUAGACGCGAAACCGAGUGAUCUACCCAUGAGCAGGUUGAAGCUGUGGUAACACAUAGUGGAGGACCGAACCGGUUGACGUUGAAAAGUCUUCGGAUGACUUGUGGGUAGGGGUGAAAGGCCAAUCAAACUCGGAGAUAGCUCGUACUCCCCGAAAUGCAUUUAGGUGCAGCAUCGUGUUAAAUAAAACAGAGGUAGAGCUACUGAUUGGAUGAAGGGGUUUCAUCGCCUACUAAUUCCUGAUAAACUCCGAAUGCUGUUAUUAUGUUUCACGGUAGUGAGGGCAUGGGUGCUAAGGUCCAUGUCCAAGAGGGAAACAACCCAGACCAUCAGUUAAGGCCCCCAAGUAUAUAUUAAGUUGUAUAAACAAAGUUAAUCACACAGACAGCUAGGGAUGUUGGCUUAGAAGCAGCGGGUAAGUUCCGACCUGCACGAAUGGUGUAACGAUCUGGAAACUGUCUCAGCCGUGAGCUCGGUGAAAUUGUAAUAUCGGUGAAGAUGCCGAUUACUCGCAAUGGGACGAAAAGACCCUGUGAACCUUUACUAUAGCUUCGUAUUGGUUUUGAUUAAAAAAUGUGUAGGAUAGGUGGGAGACUUUGAAGUAUUGUCGCAAGACAAUAUGGAGUCAACCUUGAAAUACCACCCUUUUUUUAAUUGAAAUCUAACUCAAUUAAUUGUUGAGGACAUUGCGUGGUGGGUAGUUUGACUGGGGUGGUCGCCUCCAAAAAGGUAACGGAGGCUUCCAAAGGUACCCUCAACACGUUUGGUAAUCGUGUGUAGAGUAUAAUGGCAUAAGGGUGCUUGACUGUGAGACCAACAAGUCGAUCAGGUACGAAAGUAGGGCAUAGUGAUCCGGUGGUUCCGUAUGGAAGGGCCAUCGCUCAAAGGAUAAAAGGUACUCCGGGGAUAACAGGCUAGUCUCCCCCAAGAGCUCAUAUCGACGGGAGGUUGGCACCUCGAUUUCGCCUC
rnacentral:rRNA from 1 species